CCUACGGGUGGCAGCAGUGGGGAAUAUUGCACAAUGGGCGCAAGCCUGAUGCAGCCAUGCCGCGUGUGUGAAGAAGGCCUUCGGGUUGUAAAGCACUUUCAGCGGGGAGGAAGGCGGUGAGGUUAAUAACCUCAUCGAUUGACGUUACCCGCAGAAGAAGCACCGGCUAACUCCGUGCCAGCAGCCGCGGUAAUACGGAGGGUGCAAGCGUUAAUCGGAAUUACUGGGCGUAAAGCGCACGCAGGCGGUCUGUCAAGUCGGAUGUGAAAUCCCCGGGCUCAACCUGGGAACUGCAUUCGAAACUGGCAGGCUAGAGUCUUGUAGAGGGGGGUAGAAUUCCAGGUGUAGCGGUGAAAUGCGUAGAGAUCUGGAGGAAUACUGGUGGCGAAGGCGGCCCCCUGGACAAAGACUGACGCUCAGGUGCGAAAGCGUGGGGAGCAAACAGGAUUAGAUACCCCGGUAGUC
rnacentral:rRNA from 1 species